rnacentral:rRNA from 1 species
AGACUGACGCUCAGUGCGAAAGCGUGGGGAGCAAACAGGACUAGAUACCCUGGUAGUCACGCUGUAAACGAUGUCGAUUUGGAGGUGUUCCCUUGAGGAGUGGCUUCCGGAGCUAACGCGUUAAAUCGACCGCCUGGGGAGUACGGCCGCAAGGUUAAAACUCAAAUGAAUUGACGGGGGCCCGCACAAGCGGUGGAGCAUGUGGUUUAAUUCGAUGCAACGCGAAGAACCUUACCUACUCUUGACAUCCAGAGAAUUUAGCAGAGAUGCUUUAGUGCCUUCGGGAACUCUGAGACAGGUGCUGCAUGGCUGUCGUCAGCUCGUGUUGUGAAAUGUUGGGUUAAGUCCCGCAACGAGCGCAACCCUUAUCCUUUGUUGCCAGCACGUUAUGGUGGGAACUCAAAGGAGACUGCCGGUGAUAAACCGGAGGAAGGUGGGGAUGACGUCAAGUCAUCAUGGCCCUUACGAGUAGGGCUACACACGUGCUACAAUGGCGUAUACAAAGAGAAGCGACCUCGCGAGAGCAAGCGGAACUCAUAAAGUACGUCGUAGUCCGGAUUGGAGUCUGCAACUCGACUCCAUGAAGUCGGAAUCGCUAGUAAUCGUAGAUCAGAAUGCUACGGUGAAUACGUUCCCGGGCCUUGUACACACCGCCCGUCACACCAUGGGAGUGGGUUGCAAAAGAAGUAGGUAGCUUAACCUUCGGGAGGGCGCUUACCACUUUGUGAUUCAUGACUGGGGUGAAGUCGUAACAAGGUAACCA